rnacentral:tRNA from 1 species
GCCGGGGUGCCCGAGCGGUUUAGGGGACGGGCUGCAGACCCGUUUUACCCGGGUUCAAAUCCCGGCCCCGGCUCCA